rfam:Salmo salar isolate Sally breed double haploid chromosome ssa05, whole genome shotgun sequence.
UGUAUUCACUACUGUAAGUUGCUCUGGAUAAGAGCGUCUGCUAAAUGUCUAAAA